rnacentral:rRNA from 1 species
UUGGGAAUAUUGGACAAUGGGCGAAAGCCUGAUCCAGCAAUGCCGCGUGAGUGAUGAAGGCCCUCGGGUCGUAAAGCUCUUUCAGCGGGAAAGAAUAAAAUGACGGUACCCGCAGAAGAAGCACCGGCUAACUCCGUGCCAGCAGCCGCGGUAAUACGGAGGGUGCAAGCGUUGUUCGGAAUUAUUGGGCGUAAAGCGCGUGUAGGCGGCUAUCUAAGUCUGGUGUGAAAGCCCAGAGCUUAACUCUGGAAGUGCACUGGAUACUGGAUAGCUAGAGGACGAGAGAGGAAAGUGGAAUUCCUGGUGUAGGGGUGAAAUCCGUAGAUAUCAGGAGGAACAUCGGUGGCGAAGGCGACUUUCUGGCUCGUUUCUGACGCUCAGACGCGAAAGCGUGGGGAGCAAACAGG